rnacentral:ncRNA from 1 species
UUGAAAACAAAGAGCAGAAAAAGUAGCUUAAUUAUAUUUGUAUAGAGAGCCUUUGGUUGGUGGAAAAAGGUCAAAGUAUUAAGUGAAACACAUCUGGGAGUUAACUUUUCGAAAAUCAUCAGUAGAAAAGUUCGUUUGAGACACGUUAUGACACUCGAAGUUAUAAACUUCAUGAGGUUAUUGUUGUGAGACAAUAACAAAUAAAGGUGGAACCACGAUUAUAUCGUCCUUUGG